rnacentral:rRNA from 1 species
CCUACGGGAGGCAGCAGUGGGGAAUUUUGCGCAAUGGGCGAAAGCCUGACGCAGCAACGCCGCGUGUGUGAUGAAGGUCUUCGGAUUGUAAAGCACUUUCGACCGGGACGCGGUACCGGGAGAAGAAGCACCGGCUAACUCUGUGCCAGCAGCCGCGGUAAUACAGAGGGUGCAAGCGUUGUUCGGAAUUAUUGGGCGUAAAGCGCGUGUAGGCGGCGUGACAAGUCGGGUGUGAAAGCCCUCAGCUCAACUGAGGAAGUGCGCCCGAAACUGUCGUGCUUGAGUGCCGGAGAGGGUGGCGGAAUUCCCCAAGUAGAGGUGAAAUCGUAGAUAUGGGGAGGAACACCGGUGGCGAAGGCGGCCACCUGGACGGUACUGACGUGAGACGCGAAAGCGUGGGUAGCAAACAGGAUUAGAUACCCUUGUAGUC